rnacentral:rRNA from 2 species
CCUACGGGAGGCAGCAGUAGGGAAUCUUCCGCAAUGGACGAAAGUCUGACGGAGCAACGCCGCGUGAGUGAAGAAGGUUUUCGGAUCGUAAAACUCUGUUGUCAGAGAAGAACAAGUUGGAGAGUAACUGCUCCAGCCUUGACGGUAUCUGACCAGAAAGCCACGGCUAACUACGUGCCAGCAGCCGCGGUAAU